GCUAAACACGUGUACGUGACCAAUAACAUUUUAUUUGAUUAUAAGGGAAUCAGUCAAUUUAAAUAAAUGCAUUAGGCCCUAAUCUAUUGAUUUCACAUGGCUGGGCAGGGGUGCAGCCAUGGGUAGGCUUGGGGAGCCAGGCCCAGCUAAUCAGAAUGAGUUUUUCCCACAAAAAGGGCUUUAUGAUAAACAGAAAUACUCCUCAGUUUCAUCAGCUGUCUGGGUGACUGGUCUCAGACAAUCCUGCAGGUGAAGUAGCUGGAUGAGGAGGUCCAGGGCUGGAGUGGUUACACGUGAACUGCAGUUGUGAGGCCGGUUGGACAUCCUGCAAAAUUCUCUAACAUUAUUAAUAUUAAAUUCUCUGGCAACAGCUCUGGUAGGCAUUCUUGCAGUCAGCAUGCCAAUUGCACACUCCCUCAAAACUUGAGACAUCUGUGGUAUUGGGUUGUAUGACAAAACUGCACAUUUAUUGUCUGCAGCACAAGGUGCACCUGUGUAAUGAUCAUGCUGUUUAAUCAGCUUCUUGAUAUGCCACACCUGUCAAGUGGAUGCGUUAACUUGGCAAAGGAUAAAUGCUCACUUACAUGGAUGUAAACAAAUUAGUGCACAAAAUUUGAGCAAAAUAAGCUUUUGGUGCGUAUGGAACUUUUUAAAAUAUAUUUUAUUUCAGUUCAUGAAAUGGGACCAACACUUUACAUGUUGGGUUUAUAUAUUUUUUUCAGUAUAGGUAGGUCGUGAAUGGUCUCUCUCCAGUACAGUAGGUGGCAGUGUAUGCUCCGCCAAAGCAAUCCAAAAGAAGAAGUAUUUUUGUCCUCGUCUGGGGCGGCAAACGAGCGAAGUGGAGCUCCUUUUUAAAAACUUUUGUUCAAACCUUACAUGUUGCUGUGUAUUGACUAAAGGAGAUGAUUCGCAUGGAUGGAAAUGACCGAAACCAAUGUGGUUCAGCAUAUCUCAACGAGUCCGGUGUCCUUGAAGUCGAGAUGCAUGCUGACAAAGGUGCAAACAUUAUUUGUGGUACCAAGAUCAUGGAUCCCUCACCUUUGCUUUUGAAUGUGCAUGCUUUUGAUAAUCUGGUCUUGGGCAGGUGCUGCAGUUUGGCUGUAUGCUGCAGCGUGCCUUGUUGGACCUAGACUAUAACGGGGGGUUCUGUGAAUCCUUCUCUAGCAGUUGCAGGUGUGAGCAUGUAUACAGCAGAUUGAUGCUCGUGUAUAAUACUGCAGACAAACUGUUGAUAAAAUAAGUGUCCCUUCUAUCUUUUUUUGUGUUGAGAUGAUGCUGUAGAUGUAUUUACAAUUCAAUUAAGCUAGAUUGGCUUUUGCCAACUGACUUCAGUGGGAAAGGGGUACUGUAGAAGAAUAUACAGGUUUAGUAGUCUAGUGCAGGGGUGUCAAACUCAUUCCAUGCCUUUUUAUUUCCUUUUCAAUUUGUGUGCAAUAAAGACCUAAACAACCAGGUGACUGGAGUUUAAAACUAAUCAAUGAGCUGAAUUGAUCGCGCAAGUACGGGAGCGGAGCGAAAACCUGCAAGCACUUGUCCCUCAAUGGAAUGACUUUGACACGUGGUCUAGUGACAAAGAUUUCCCUUUUGGUGAUAACGUUGUCCAGUAGAGGGCACACUAGAAUAAGAUCAAUAAACUCAUGAGGGACCGCUCAAAUAUUGUCUUAUAAAUUGAACUGUCUGACAUAUGAAACUAAUGUUCAUCAGAUCAGCAAACUACUGUACUAAAAACGUAUCAUCUGUUUCUCACCUGUAGUGUGUCGGCAUCGCAUCGUGUCCGAUGUCCUUGAUGAACUCACAUGAUGGGGCGUCUAUUGAGACCAGAUACAUGACGACAAUGAAGGGGCAAAGCAUAGAAAUAUAUUGACAGAUUCUAUUUCUGUUAGAAAUAGAUCCCUCUCACCGCUGCUGUAAUUAGCCUACCUGGUAAGUAGGCUAUAUUGGCUUGGCCUAUAGUCUAUCUGUCCCAAAUGACUCCCUAUUUGAUGCAGUGCUUUUGACCUGGGCCCAUAUAGCUCUGGUCAUAAGUGAACUACAUGGGGAAUGAUGUGGUGUUCUGGAUGUGCAUGCUUUUGAUAAUCUGGUCUUGGGCAGGUGCUGCAGUGUAGCUGUCGUGGCCGUAUGCUGCAGCGUGCCUUGUUGGACCUAGACUAUAACAGAGGGGGUUCUGUGAAGCCUUCCCUGGCAGUUGCAGGUGUGAGCAUGUAUACAGCAGUUUGAUGCUCUUGUAUGAUACUGCACACAUGUCUUUAGAAAACAGAUUUAUCCCUUCCUUAUAUAUUUUAUGGUGGUUAAAUGAGGUUGGUUUAUUGUGCAACUCCUAUCCUGUUUCCUCAUUGCAUGUGUCAUGCUUCGUAGGCUACGCCCACCAUUUUCAACAUCUUGUAUGAAGAUUUGUCAAUUACAUAAGGGAUCAUCAAGGGGCUAUGUGUUCUGUGGAAGGUGAGGCGCUAGCGGAGUGGAACUUACCUCCCAGGGAGUUGAAUAAUUUUCCAGCGAACACAGAACCCCCGCG
rnacentral:lncRNA from 1 species